rnacentral:rRNA from 1 species
AUUGAACGCUGGCGGCAGGCUUAACACAUGCAAGUCGAACGAGUGGCGGACGGGUGAGUAAUGCUUGGGAAUCUGGCUUAUGGAGGGGGAUAACGACGGGAAACUGUCGCUAAUACCGCGUACCAUAGGAUGAGCCCAAGUGGGAUUAGGUAGUUGGUGGGGUAAAGGCCGACCAAGCCGACGAUCUCUAGCUGGUCUGAGAGGAUGACCACGCACACCGGAACGGGGAACGGGCCCGGACUCUAACGGGGGGCAGCAGUGGGGAAGAUUGCGCAAGGGGGGCAACCGGACGAAGCCAUGCCGCGUGAAUGAAGAAGGCCUUCGGGUUGUAAAGUUCUUUCGGUAACAAGGCGUUAAUCGCAGAAGAAGCACCGGCUAACUCCGUGCCAGCAGCCGCGGUAAUUC